GACGAACGCUGGCGGCGUGCCUAAUACAUGCAAGUCGAGCGGACCUCUUCGGAGGUCAGCGGCGGACGGGUGAGUAACACGUGGGCAACCUGCCUGUAAGACUGGGAUAACACCGGGAAACCGGUGCUAAUACCGGAUAAUCCUUUUUCUCACAUGAGAAGAAGCUGAAAGACGGUUUCGACUGUCACUUACAGAUGGGCCCGCGGCGCAUUAGCUAGUUGGUGGGGUAACGGCCCACCAAGGCGACGAUGCGUAGCCGACCUGAGAGGGUGAUCGGCCAAACUGGGACUGAGACACGGCCCAGACUCCUACGGGAGGCAGCAGUAGGGAAUCUUCCGCAAUGGACGAAAGUCUGACGGAGCAACGCCGCGUGAGCGAAGAAGGCCUUCGGGUCGUAAAGCUCUGUUGUCAGGGAAGAACAAGUGCCGGAGUAACUGCCGGCACCUUGACGGUACCUGACCAGAAAGCCACGGCUAACUACGUGCCAGCCGCCGCAGUAAAAC
rnacentral:rRNA from 1 species